rnacentral:tRNA from 1 species
CUUGGUGUAUAUGUCACGAAAAGAUUUGAGCUUUUAAGAGGAGGUUGUAUCCAG